GGAAGCGUAUCGAAGUGGUCAUAACGAGCCGCACUCGAAAUGCGGUAGUCCUUAAUUGGGCUCGUGGGUUCGAAUCCCACCGCUUCCU
rnacentral:tRNA from 1 species